rnacentral:rRNA from 1 species
AGGACGAACGCUGGCGGCGUGCCUAACACAUGCAAGUCGAACGGGGCAAUUUCUUCGGAGAUUGCUUAGUGGCGAACGGGUGAGUAACGCGUGAGAAACCUGCCUUUCAGUGGGGGACAACAGUUGGAAACGACUGCUAAUACCGCAUAAUGUCAUUUAGGGGCAUCCCUAGAAUGACCAAAGCUUUAUGUGCUGAAAGAUGGUCUCGCGUCUGAUUAGUUAGUUGGUGAGGUAACGGCUCACCAAGGCGACGAUCAGUAGCCGGUCUGAGAGGAUGAACGGCCACAUUGGGACUGAGAUACGGCCCAGACUCCUACGGGAGGCAGCAGUGGGGAAUAUUGGGCAAUGGGGGAAACCCUGACCCAGCAACGCCGCGUGAAGGAAGAAGGCCUUCGGGUUGUAAACUUCUUUUACCAGGGACGAAGAACGUGACGGUACCUGGAGAAAAAGCAACGGCUAACUACGUG